AGAGUUUGAUCCUGGCUCAGGAUGAACGCUAGCGGCAGGCUUAAUACAUGCAAGUCGAGGGGUAGCAUGAUUGUAGCAAUACAAUUGAUGACGACCGGCAAACGGGUGCGGAACACGUACACAACCUUCCUACAAGUGGGGAAUAGCCCAGAGAAAUUUGGAUUAAUACCCCGUAACAUAGCGAUGUGGCAUCACAUUGCUAUUAUAGCUUCGGCGCUUGUUGAUGGGUGUGCGGCUGAUUAGAUAGUUGACGGGGUAACGGCCCACCAAGUCUACGAUCAGUAGCUGAUGUGAGAGCAUGAUCAGCCACACGGGCACUGAGACACGGGCCCGACUCCUACGGGAGGCAGCAGUAAGGAAUAUUGGACAAUGGACGCAAGUCUGAUCCAGCCAUGCCGCGUGAAGGAUUAAGGUCCUCUGGAUUGUAAACUUCUUUUAUAAGGGACGAAAAAAGGUCUUUCUAGAUCGUCUGACGGUACCUUAUGAAUAAGCACCGGCUAACUCCGUGCCAGCAGCCGCGGUAAUACGGAGGGUGCAAGCGUUAUCCGGAUUCACUGNGUUUAAAGGGUGCGUAGGCGGGCAGGUAAGUCAGUGGUGAAAUCCUAGAG
rnacentral:rRNA from 1 species